GCAAGUCGAACGGCAGCAGGUCGGAUAUUUAUAUUUGAUGCUGGCGAGUGGCGCACGGGUGAGUAACGCGUACACAACCUACCCUUAAGAGGGGAUAGCCCAGAGAAAUUUGGAUUAAUACCCCAUAACAUUCUAAAACUGCAUAGUUUAAGGAUUAAAGUUAAGGCGCUUAAGGAUGGGUGUGCGUCCCAUUAGUUAGUUGGUAGGGUAACGGCCUACCAAGACUACGAUGGGUAAGGGGCGUGAGAGCGUGACC
rnacentral:rRNA from 1 species